rnacentral:rRNA from 1 species
AUACAGAGGGUGCAAGCGUUAAUCGGAAUUACUGGGCGUAAAGCGCGCGUAGGCGGUUUGAUAAGUCGGAUGUGAAAUCCCUGGGCUCAACCUGGGAACUGCAUUCGAAACUGUCUGACUAGAGUAUGCUAGAGGGUGGUGGAAUUCCUAGUGUAGCGGUGAAAUGCGUAGAUAUUAGGAGGAACAUCAGUGGCGAAGGCGACCACCUGGACCAAUACUGACGCUGAGGUGCGAAAGCGUGGGGAGCAAACAGAAUUAGAAACCCGAGUAGUCC